rnacentral:rRNA from 1 species
AUUGAACGCUGGCGGCAGGCCUAACACACGCAAGUCGAACGAGUGGCGGACGGGUGAGGAAUGGCUGGGAAACUGCCUGAUGGAGGGGGAUAACUACUGGAAACGGUAGCUAAUACCGCAUACCAUCGGAUGUGCCCAGAUGGGAUUAGCUAGGAGGUGGGGUAACGGCUCACCUAGGCGACGAUCCCUACCUGGUCUGAGAGGAUGACCAGCCACACUGGGACUGAGCCACGGUCCAGACUCCUACGUGAGGCCGCGGUGGGGAAUAUUGCACAAGGGGCGCGAGCCUGAUGCAGCCAUGCCGCGUGUAUGAAGAAGGCCUUCGGGGUGUAAAGUACUUUCAGCGGGGAGGCGUUACCCGCAGAAGAGGCACCGGCUAACUCCGUGCCGGCAGCCGCGGUAAUUC